AUUGAACGCUGGCGGCAUGCCUUACACAUGCAAGUCGAACGGCAGCACGGGAGCAAUCCUGGUGGCGAGUGGCGAACGGGUGAGUAAUAUAUCGGAACGUGCCCAGUAGUGGGGGAUAACUGCUCGAAAGAGCAGCUAAUACCGCAUACGACCUGAGGGUGAAAGGGGGGGAUCGCAAGACCUCUCGCUAUUGGAGCGGCCGAUAUCAGAUUAGCUAGUUGGUGGGGUAAAGGCCUACCAAGGCAACGAUCUGUAGUUGGUCUGAGAGGACGACCAGCCACACUGGGACUGAGACACGGCCCAGACUCCUACGGGAGGCAGCAGUGGGGAAUUUUGGACAAUGGGCGCAAGCCUGAUCCAGCAAUGCCGCGUGCAGGAAGAAGGCCUUCGGGUUGUAAACUGCUUUUGUCAGGGAAGAAAUCCUCUAGGUUAAUACCCUUGGGGGGAUGACGGUACCUGAAGAAUAAGCACCGGCUAACUACGUGCCAGCAGCCGCCGCCGUAA
rnacentral:rRNA from 1 species